rfam:Nematostella vectensis strain CH2 x CH6 NEMVEscaffold_32_Cont5602, whole genome shotgun sequence.
CCCUCUGUAGCUCAGUGGUUAGAGCACUGGUAUCGUAAAGCAGGGGUCGAGAGUUCUACUCUCUCCAGAGGCU